UCAAAACCCAAACGAAACGCCGUAGCACAGAUAAGUGCAGCUGUUUUGAUUCAUUGCCAAGGUUUUGAUUGAUUGAAUGGCAUAUUAGCCACACGUUACGAGGUGUUUCAAGUGUUUUCUCGUGAAAUCUUGAACACGUUGGAUUCUCAAAGUUAACAACGAACUAUCAAAAACAAACAAACAAAAACAAUAUAACCAGGCCGUGAGGGUAUAGCGCUAAUGGAGAGUAUAGUUCUUCUGGGAUCGGUGUGAGAUGAGGGCUGCUAUUCUGCUGUUUGUCGCUUUGCUGAUUGCAUAUCAGGCUGAAGCACAGUCCACGAAAUGUCAACGGAAGUGGCUAUCAACUUACAUAUAUUGCACAUACCAAUGCAGCACGCCAGUGGGUCGCAGAGAAAACGAAGACGACGGAUACUAUUGCGUG